rnacentral:rRNA from 1 species
CCCACCGGGGUUGAGGACAGUCAUCAAGAGUAAAUGAGGUAGAAGAAUGGAGCUGGCAAGCUCAGCCGCAGAAGGUGAAAGCCCUGUAAUCGAAACCUUGCAUACACGGGACUGUAUCCAGAGUACCACGAGACACGUGAAACCUUGUGGGAAGCAGGGGGGACCACCCUCCAAGCCAAAAUACUGAUAUCGACCGAUAGCGCAUAGUACCGUGAGGGAAAGGUGAAAAGAACCCCUGGCGGGGAGUGAAAGAGAACCUGAAACCGUAUGUCUACAAACAGUCGAAGUCUGUAUAUAUAUCAGGACGACGGCGUGCCUAUUGAAGAAUGAACCGACGAGUUACUGUUGCUAGCGAGGUUAAGUGGAAAACAUGGAGCCGCAGCGAAAGCGAGUCUGAACAGGGCGUUCAGUUAGUAAUAGUAGACCCGAAACCGUAGUGAUCUAUCCAUGGCCAGGUUGAAGCACAGGUAAAAUUGUGUGGAGGACCGAACUCGUGAGCGUUGAAAAGCUUUGGGAUGAGUUGUGGAUAGGGGUGAAAUGCCAAUCGAACACGGAGAUAGCUGGUUCUCCCCGAAAUAGCUUUAGGGCUAGCCUCGAGGUUGAGAGUAUAGGCGGUAGAGCACUGAUCGGGCUAGGGGCCAUACCGGUUACCGAACCUAGUCAAACUACGAAUGGCUAUACUUAUACUCGGGAGUCAGACAGUGAAUGAUAAGGUCCAUUGUCAAGAGGGAAACAGCCCAGAACACCGACUAAGGUCCCCAAUGUCAUACUAAGUGGCGAAGGAUGUGGAAUUUCCAAAACAACCAGGAUGUUGGCUUAGAAGCAGCCACCAUUUAAAGAGUGCGUAAUAGCUCACUGGUCGAGAGACGCUGCGCCGAAAAUGUCCGGGGCUAAAGUAUGAAACCGAAGUCGUGUCAUAUGCAGCAAUGUAUAUGGGUAGGGGAGCGUUCUCAUCGGAUUGAAGCAGUACCGUAAGGAGUUGUGGACUGGUGAGAAGUGAGAAUGUCGGUAUGAGUAGCGAAAAGAAUGGUGAGAAUCCAUUCCACCGAAAGCCUAAGGGUUCCUGAGCAACGAUCGUCGUCUCAGGGUAAGUCGGGACCUAAGCCGAGGCGGAAAAGCGUAGGCGAUGGACAACAGGUUGAAAUUCCUGUACCGGUGUGAAUCGUUUGAUCGAAGGAGUGACACAGUAAGGUAGGUCAGCACGCGAUUGGAAGUGCGUGUUUAAGCAUGUAGGUUGAGUUAUAGGCAAAUCCGUAGCUCUAAAAGCUGAGAUGUGAUGACGAGCUGUUUACAGCGAAGUGAUUGAUCCUACACUGUCGAGAAAAGCUUCUAGGUAGAGACACAUCGCCCGUACCAAAACCGACACAGGUAGGCGGGGAGAGAAUCCUAAGGUGCGCGGGAAAACCCUCGUUAAGGAACUCGGCAAAAUGCCUCCGUAACUUCGGGAAAAGGAGGACUCAUGUAGUGUGAAGGGCAGUAACGCGUGGAGCAUGAAUGAGUGGCACAAGAGAGGCGCAAGCGACUGUUUACCACAAACACAGGUGCCUGCUAAAGCGAAAGCUGAUGUAUAGGUGCUGACACCUGCCCGGUGCUGGAAGGUUAAGAGGAGGGGUUAGACUUCGGUCGAAGCUCUGAAUUGAAGCCCCAGUAAACGGCGGCCGUAACUAUAACGGUCCUAAGGUAGCGAAAUUCCUUGUCGGGUAAGUUCCGACCCGCACGAAAGGCGUAAUG